rnacentral:rRNA from 1 species
UACGGGGGGGGCAAGCGUUGUUCGGAAUUACUGGGCGUAAAGGGCGCGUAGGCGGCCUUCUAAGUCGGACGUGAAAUCCCUCGGCUUAACCGAGGAACUGCGUCCGAUACUGAAAGGCUUGAAUCCGGGAGAGGGAUGUGGAAUUCCUGGUGUAGCGGUGAAAUGCGCAGAUAUCGUAAGGAAGACCAGUGGCGAAGGCGGGUCUCUGGACAGUUCCUGACGCUGAGGCACGAAGGCCAGGGGAGCAAACGGG